rnacentral:rRNA from 1 species
UAUGGCUCAGGAUGAACGCUGGCGGCGUGCUUAACACAUGCAAGUCGAACGAAGCGCUUUCUGAAUUCUUCGGGAAUGAAGGAACUGUGACUUAGUGGCGGACGGGUGAGUAACGCGUGGGUAACCUGCCUUAUACAGGGGGAUAACAGUUGGAAACGACUGCUAACACCGCAUAAGCGCACAGUGUCGCAUGGCACAGUGUGAAAACAUUUAUGGGUAUAAGAUGGACCCCGCGUCUGAUUAGCUAGUUGGUGAGGUAACGGCCCACCAAGGCGACGAUCAGUAGCCGGCUUGAGAGAGUGAACGGCCACAUUGGGACUGAGACACGGCCCAAACUCCUACGGGAGGCAGCAGUGGGGAAUAUUGCACAAUGGGGGAAACCCUGAUGCAGCCGACGCCGCGUGAGUGAAGAAGUAUUUCGGUAUGUAAAGCUCUAUCAGCAGGGACGAUAAUGACGGUACCUGACUAAGAAGCCCCGGCUAACUACGUGCCAGCAGCGGC